rnacentral:rRNA from 1 species
CCUACGGGAGGCAGCAGUGGGGAAUAUUGCACAAUGGGCGCAAGCCUGAUGCAGCCAUGCCGCGUGUAUGAAGAAGGCCUUCGGGUUGUAAAGUACUUUCAGUCGUGAGGAAGGUGUUAAGGUUAAUAACCUUAGCAAUUGACGUUAGCGACAGAAGAAGCACCGGCUAACUCCGUGCCAGCAGCCGCGGUAAUACGGAGGGAGCGAGCGUUAAUCGGAAUUACUGGGCGUAAAGGGCACGCAGGCGGUUAAUUAGGUGGUAUGUAAAAUCCCCGGGCUUAAACUGGGAAUAGCAUUCAAGACUGGUUAGCUAGAGUCUUAUAGAAGGGGGUAGAAUUCCAUGGGUAGCGGUGAAAUGCGUAGAGAUGUGGAGGAAUACCGGUGGCGAAGGCGACCCAAUGGACAAAGACUGACGCUCAUGUGCGAAAGCGUGGGAAGCAAACAGUAGUAGAUACCCCGUUAGUC